GGCGAACGGGUGAGUAAUACGUGAGUAACCUGCCCUUGACUCUGGGAUAAGCCCGGGAAACUGGGUCUAAUACUGGAUGCUACAUGUCACCGCAUGGUGGUGUGUGGAAAGGGUUUACUGGUCUUGGAUGGGCUCACGGCCUAUCAGCUUGUUGGUGAGGUAAUGGCUCACCAAGGCGACGACGGGUAGCCGGCCUGAGAGGGUGACCGGCCACACUGGGACUGAGACACGGCCCAGACUCCUACGGGAGGCAGCAGUGGGGAAUAUUGCACAAUGGGCGAAAGCCUGAUGCAGCGACGCCGCGUGAGGGAUGACGGCCUUCGGGUUGUAAACCUCUUUCAGCAGGGAAGAAGCCACAAGUGACGGUACCUGCAGAAGAAGCGCCGGCUAACUACGUGCCAGCAGCCGCGGUAAUACGUAGGGCGCAAGCGUUGUCCGGAAUUAUUGGGCGUAAAGAGCUCGUAGGCGGUUUGUCGCGUCUGCUGUGAAAGCCCGGGGCUUAACCCCGGGUGUGCAGUGGGUACGGGCAGACUAGAGUGCAGUAGGGGAGACUGGAAUUCCUGGUGUAGCGGUGGAAUGCGCAGAUAUCAGGAGGAACACCGAUGGCGAAGGCAGGUCUCUGGGCUGUUACUGACGCUGAGGAGCGAAAGCAUGGGGAGCGAACAGGAUUAGAUACCCUGGUAGUCCAUGCCGUAAACGUUGGGCACUAGGUGUGGGGGACAUUCCACGUUUUCCGCGCCGUAGCUAACGCAUUAAGUGCCCCGCC
rnacentral:rRNA from 2 species